rnacentral:tRNA from 1 species
UAAGGCUUUAAGUUAAUUAAACUAAUAGCCUUCAAAGCUAUAAAUAUAAGAAAUAAUCUUUUAAGCCUUAG